rnacentral:rRNA from 1 species
AUUGAACGCUGGCGGCAUGCCUUACACAUGCAAGUCGAACGGCAGCACGGGGGCAACCCUGGUGGCGAGUGGCGAACGGGUGAGUAAUGCAUCGGAACGUGCCCAGUAGUGGGGGAUAGCCCGGCGAAAGCCGGAUUAAUACCGCAUACGUACUGAGGUAGAAAGCGGGGGACCCGCAAGGGCCUCGCGCUAUUGGAGCGGCCGAUGUCGGAUUAGCUUGUUGGUGGGGUAACGGCCUACCAAGGCGACGAUCCGUAACUGGUCUGAGAGGACGACCAGUCACACUGGGACUGAGACACGGCCCAGACUCCUACGGGAGGCAGCAGUGGGGAAUUUUGGACAAUGGGCGCAAGCCUGAUCCAGCAAUGCCGCGUGUGUGAAGAAGGCCUUCGGGUUGUAAAGCACUUUUGUCCGGAAAGAAAUCCGUCUGGCCAAUACCCGGACGGGAUGACGGUACCGGAAGAAUAAGCACCGGCUAACUACGUG